CCUACGGGUUUUCAAUAUACAGCCUGGGUAUUUGGUUUCCUUUGGGUGAACUAUGGUAAACUACUGGCUAAGGGAAAGGCAGGCGCUUGUGUUUGAUAGGUCUGUUAACCGAAAUCGAUCAGAUAGAUGUACCAGUGUCAUUACAUGUAGCCUCAACAAUCACCUCAAUGAACUAAUCUCUUACCUUGAUGAUGCUGCUCCUGCGGGGGGCCGCCCUCACUGCCUCCAGGACGAUGGUAUCGUUGUCCUGGCCGGGGAGGAUGACUCCGCUCCGCCUCCCCGUCCUGGACGCUCUCGGCGGGAUGAUCUCAGGAGCUCCAUCAUCGCACAGACCGUCCCCAUAAUGCUCUUGCUCCGACAUCUUCUCAACAGAAGCCCAAGUUCAAGUUUCAGAAGUGCCCGGGUAUUGAGGGGUCUGCUGCGCCUUUCCAAAAACAUUAAAUCACGGAACCGGACUCCAGCUCAUCUGGCCUCGGGCGAUUCUGUUAGUCCGUUAUAGAGCGUCCCCGGUCCGGCAGUCGGGCCGGUGGUGGCUGGUCCCCUGCAAGAAGGUGAGGUGCCUGAGGUCCCUCCGCCCCCUCUGGACAUCGAGGGGUCCCCGGCGUACACAGUUCGGGGCAUUCUGGAUUCGAGACGCCGGGUGGGGGGCCUACAGUACCUCGUGGACUGGGAGGGGUACGGUCCGGAGAAGAGAUGCUGGGUUCCGGUGGGGGACAUUUUGGACCCUUCUCUCCUGAGAGAUUUCCACCACCUCCACCCGGAUCGCCCAGCACCUCGUCCUCCGGGUCGUCCUCGAGGACGGUGGCGGCGCGCUGCGGGGGCCGCGUGUCAGACGUGGGGGUACUGUCACGACUUCCGCCGAAGUUGGCUCUCCUGCCUGUUCGGGCGGUGCUUGGCGGUCGUCGUCACCGUCCUACUAGCCACUACCGACCCCUUUUUCGUUUGUCUAUUGGUUUUGUCUUAUUAGUUUCACCUGUGUGUAUUUUAGUUUAAUUAACGUCCCUAUAUGUAGUAGGUUGUCCCGCCCUUGUUUUGUGCGGGAUUGUUUUUGUAUUCAUGUCAUUUGGUGUAGUGCUUGUGUUUUAUUCUCCGGUCUAUUUUUGAUCCUGUGUUGGAUUAUUCACCCUGUGUGUUGGGUUGACCGUGUUUUUUGUGCG